rnacentral:rRNA from 1 species
AGAACGAACGCUGGCGGCAGGCUUAACACAUGCAAGUCGAACGCUCGUAGCAAUACGGGAGUGGCAGACGGGUGAGUAACACGUGGGAACGUCCCCCUCGGUUCGGAAUAACUCAGGGAAACUUGAGCUAAUACCGGAUACGUCCGAGAGGAGAAAGAUUUAUUGCCGAGGGAUCGGCCCGCGUCUGAUUAGCUAGUUGGUGAGGUAACGGCCCACCAAGGCGACGAUCAGUAGCUGGUCUGAGAGGAUGACCAGCCACACUGGGACUGAGGCACGGCCCAGACUCCUACGGGAGGCAGCAGUGGGGAAUCUGGACAAUGGCGCAAGCCUGAUCCAGCCAUGCCGCGUGAGUGAUGAAGGCCUUAGGGUUGUAAAAGCUCUUUCGGCGGGGACGAUGAUGACGGUACCCGCAGAAGAAGCCCGGCUAACUCGUGCCAGCAGCCGC